UACGUAGGGGGCUAGCGUUGUCCGGAAUCAUUGGGCGUAAAGCGCGCGUAGGCGGCCCAGUAAGUCCGUUGUAAAAGUCAAAGGCUCAACCUUUGAAAGCCGAUGGAUACUGCUGGGCUAGAGUCCGGAAGAGGCGAGUGGAAUUCCUGGUGUAGCGGUGGAAUGCGCAGAUAUCAGGAGGAACACCGAUAGCGAAGGCGGCUCACUGGCCCGGUACUGACGCUGAGGUGCGAAAGCGUGGGGAGCAAACAGG
rnacentral:rRNA from 1 species